CUCCUGCAUGACCACGGCUGCCACAUCAGCGCUCCAAGCUGGGUCACAAGCCUGCUCGAUGCGUUCCAGAACCACACUGUCCCACUGUUUCUUGGCCAGGGUGAACUGGCGGUUGGGCUCCAGUUCGAUGGUGUGUGGCGAUGGGAAUGCCUCUUUCUUGAGACUGAAGACAGUGGGAAGCAGAGAAGUCCUGAACACAUAUUCUCACUGCGUUUUGUGUGAGGAUCUUAAAGCAGAGCUCUCCAGCCUUAAUUGAAGAGGCAAGAAGAAAAAAAAAGCCACGGUUGUUACCGUCCAACAACCCGAGUCUGCUCUUUCUGGACACCGCUGGCGAAGAACUGGGCUGGAAAACAAGAGGACAGUGGCUCCCACCGUCCGGUUUCACUCUCACUUUUGGCGCCCUGGGUCUGUUUGAAACUCAAUCUCUCCUACUUGACAACCGAGGGAACCGAAGUCGGCCGCUUAUACUACAGCUGGGAAAGUGGUGCCAGGUGGACUCAAGGAAACCAACCCCUGUGAUAAGUGUGUUCGGUCUUGUACACUCAUCUAAGUCUGACUCUUUCCUGUGCAUCAGGAAAUGGUAUAAAUUGGGCCCACAGGACAACACAGGGGGUCUGAAGGUACCCGCUACCAAACCUGAGUUGGAUGCCCAGCUAGAAGGCAGAAAUGACUGUGGCAAGCUGUCCUCUCCCCUCCACACCUCCUAUGUGGCACACUCGAACCCCUACACAUGUACGCACAGAAUAAAUAGAUGUAAAGAAGGUUUCAAUAAAACCAGGAACUGGUAGGACUUAGGUGGCCUUUUUUAGCUGGAGUCCGACCGUGUUAGUCUCUACACAUUUCUUUUUGUUUUGUUUUCCCUUUGUAUCACAAACAGAUUGUUCCUCUUCUCACACUGACAGUCUUCAUGAAGUUCUAGCAGGAAUAUACUAGCUGGUGGAUUUGUAGAGUUGUGUGAACGAGGCACUCGGGUAAAUCUCUAAGAAGGCCCAGCUUGAAGCUAGAUGUCAGAAUCCCACAAAAGGAAGUGUAAGAAUGAAUCUGAACAGGAUCACAUUGGAAAUAACCAUCCUGGGAGAGUUCUCUGAAGGAAAGCAGGGUGCGUGUGAUUCCUUAUUGUAGCUUAUUUCCUAGCUGUACUAGGGAAUGAAAUGGUGCCUGGUACCUCAUUGUUUUACCGAGUUGGGAUAGUUCCUAUUAAAAUAAUAUGUCAGGAAUGAUUUGUAUGACGGCAACAAGGAUUCCGGGCUCUUGAAAGAUGGAUAUCAUACUUGACUACUUCAUGCUGCUGAACACUUCAUCUUCUUCUUGUUGUUCUCUUAGGUUUGGCGGGGGAGGGGGACAUUGUUUGUGGUUUUGUUUCCCUUUCUGGCAAGACUUAACUUCGCUAAAGCACCCCUGGGAGUCCAUCCCAACAUUUCUUCUCUGUGUCUAUUGUCUCCUCCAGACCACAAGCCCCUGAAGGGCACAGACCACCUUUUAUAUUCCCCAACACAAUCCAUGGACACUAACAUGGCCUACAUGAAAGACUGAACAGCGAUUCUCCCCUAAUUGAGAGUUUUUAACCUAACUGACACUGAACUCUUAAACGUAAGAAAGUGCUUUGCAUUUUAUGCUGUUACUAAAAACAUACAUAAGAUUACACUUAAGGCAAACAUCUAUAAACCUCUUUCAGUUUUAAAGGUAUCAGUACUUACAUAGGAAAAAAGUGA